rnacentral:rRNA from 1 species
UUCGCGUUUCAGCCGUCGGAGCAGAGCGACCGUGUGACGAACAAAGUCCGCUUUGUUUGCACCUUUCGUUCUGCUCACCGACGUUGAACGCGUGCACUUUUCCCCUAGUAGGACGUCGCGAUCCGUUGAGUGUCUGUCUAAGACUCGGGGUGGAGCCCACGUGACAUUUUGUCAUGUGGACCCUCGGUGUUCCGACAGACUCGCUCGACGGUAUGUUAAUGGCGCGGGGCCGCUACUCAGUUAGCGUUCGGCUCGUAGCAAGCACGUUCUGCGUUUUGAUGGCGAUCGGACCUGGUGCCGAUUCUGUCCCGGAACGACUGUUGGUUACGAUGUUCUCGAACAGACCUCGU